rnacentral:rRNA from 1 species
UACGAGCAGCUCAAGUGGUGUCCGUGUAUAUUGGGCUUAAAGCGCCCGUAGCUGGCCUGUUAAGUGUUCUGUGAAAGCCCGUGGCUUAACUGCGGGGAGUGCAGAGCAUACUGACAGGCUUGGAGGCAGGAGAGGCCAGAGGUACUUCUGGGGUAGUGGUUAAAUACUUUAAUCCUGGAAGGACCACCAGUAGCGAAGGCGUCUGGCUAGAAUGCGCUCGACAGUGAGGGGCGAAGGCUAGGGGAGCAACCCGG